rnacentral:tmRNA from 1 species
GGGGGUGAUCGGUUUCGACAUUGGUCGGUCCUGCAGGAGAAGCGGGUCGAGGAUGCACGGUCAUCUCGUCAACGCCCCGUGCACAUCAAUAGGUGCCGAUUCCAAGCGCACCGACUUCGCCCUCGCCGCCUGAGCGAGCCCGAAGUCCGUUGGUCUGAGCUCGAUCUCGGCUCAGUAACCAGCGUCAGCUAGAGAUCUUGCUGCGCAGCGGUGUCGGGACGCUGCGCGGGACUCCUUCUCGACUGGGCCUGUCAGGGGACGUGUGCGUGCGAGCCCUGAGGCCGAGAAAAUCCAUAGCGCACUGCACCCGGAGAAGUCCUGCUCGUCUACCAGUGGACGCGGGUUCGAUUCCCGCCACCUCCACCA